GAGUAUGGCACGAACCCUUAUUUAUUUUCGGAUCAAGCACGUGCAUAAUGUUUGUUCCCCCACGUACACGCCGAGAUGAUGAUGCAGGUAAUGAACAAGCAUUUGCAUCAUGGCCCGGCAUACAGGUGAGCCGGAAGCCAAAUGUUCAAAAUGGAACACACACUGUGGGAUUAUGUUCAAGCUGAUCCUGUCCAACUGUGCUACAGCUUGAACACAACCAGAGCGAAGGCGAUGGAGUCAUGGAGCAGGCUCGGUGGUGCAGGUUCUCAUGAUGGCUUAACUGCGCACGAUGCAGAGUAUUUGGAAUCGAGAAUCUACAGUCGACGAUGGCCUGGCUGCCUCCUGUGGACUGAACUGGGCACACAAGGUGGGUUAGACAACUACUGCGCACUGACCAGCUAGGCGACAUCAAGGCCGGCGUCGACAUAGCUAAGCCCGACAUCGUAGUGAGCUCCGUGUGUAGUUUUGUUUGUGUGAUUACGUUCAUGAGAUGUAUUGAGUUCUGAAUUAUUUCUUUGACUUCUGUUUCCACAUCGCGGUGUGCAUGAAGCAAUAAAAACACUUGCUUGCAUCCGAUCGUGUGUUGAAUUUCUGAAUGUACUGAAAAGUGAUGAUGAGUUCUUGCUAUGUCGAUGGGUGAAUGUUUGGCUUGUAUGAAGUUUCAAUCCAUUCAGAUUCAACAUUCAGGUUUGUGAGGUGUUGAUUUUGUGGAGUUCAUAUGUUAAUCCAUCUAGUCAGCUACUAGCUUUGCCUUUUAAAAAAAAUUCUUCACAUCUUACUAGUUUUCCUUCGGCCACAAUUUGUAGACUUUGUUCAUUCUUGAUAAAUUAAAGGCACGUAGCAGGCUAGCAGCUAAUACCAUGACAAUUCGAGCAAAAGCAAGUUCUAGAGUCCAAUGUCCUUUUUGUAUUGAGCGGCUACAUAAGACAGCAGAAGCGUGUUCAAUUGUUGCUUCCUAAGGCUAAGAUCUGGGCGUUAGGAUGUGGGACGCCACAGUAAGGCAGCUCGGCAUUACGUUUUGGUACACCCAGGUAAGGCAGCUUGGCGUUAAGCCUCACCACACCAAGCUACGGACUCAGGCAAUCCGGGCGGCCACGCUGGCAUUGACGUGGAAAUAGUUGGCAUGAGUUUGUAGUACCUCGGCGUUAACAGACAGCACGCCGAGUUUUUGGGUCCAUUUUUAGAAAUAGUUCUAUCAGGGGUCUAUUUGUAAAAAUUAUUUUCUGAAAGGGCCAGUUCGAAAAAAACCACAGCGCUAGGGCCUCUCCCGCUCUUGCUGCUCGUGCUGUCGAGCUUCGGCCUAGCGCCGUCCUGGCCAGUGGCCAUCUUCGGAGAUGGGCCGGCAUGUCGUCGCCUCACGCCGUCACGCGUCUACCUCUGGUUCCCGAGAAAAAUUGAGCCGGGAUGGCUGAAAUCGAGCGGAGGAUUCUUGCUUUCUUGUCGCGUGUAGGCAGAAUAGUUAGGCGAAGGCUCUUGUUGACUGUUGUCUGUGUUCGGCCGCCUGGACGCCUGGUCGGCGACUUGGCGUCGCCUAGGCGGAGCCGCGACAAACUGACAACUAUGCCAUGUACUCAAUCAGUUAUUGGUCCCUACCAUCUAUAUACAAUGACUUAUAUGCAACGGUAAUACUUAUUCUUAAAAAUAUCGGACGUUCUAAUGUUGCAAUAGUUAAGUACCGAUGUUGCAACUAUUGUAUUCGCAUGUUUUACAGUGAAUGUUGCAUGAACAUUCAUGUUGCGGCAGAAAUUUUCUAUUCCAGAGUCGAACGACGUUGUCAUUUUUACAUAUUAUUAUUCAUAUUGCAAAUAGUGACCGCUGAUGUUGCACUAGGUAAUUUUUAUGUUUCGUCGGAACAUCCGACGUUUGGGCGCUAGCAGCGCCGUAUAUGCAAACACUUUUUCAUGCUAACUAAAAUGAUUUUAUAAUUUCUUUGAUAUCGAAAUACCAAAAUCUCAUACUUACUAGAGAAACAAUCAUCUAUUUGGUCAUUUAAAAGCUGGAACAGAUAAGUCAUGUAUACUAGCACGAGCACGAACCGGCAUGAAAAAUUCAUUACCCAUGCUAGCUCUAUGUGCCGUCUCCCAACAAUAGCCGGCAAGGAUACUUUUAAGAUUAUUUGCCGGCUCUAUUAAGAGCCAGUGUGGAUAAUUUUUUUCGCAUUUGCAAUUUGAAUUUCAUGUGCUAUUUAGGAAUUUGCAAGUUUUAUAUAUAAACUUGAAUGGAGAUAAGCUUUAUUCGCAAAUGGUAAAGAGAACUAUAUUUUUAGUUGAAUUUUUUUAUUUGAAGUUGUCUAGGUGGCCAGACAGUGGACCAACAACAAGAGUCAAAAGCAAUAGAACUCCCUAUCGUGUGCAGCAACGACGUAUAUAAGUGGGAUGAUAUGGAGGGAUCGCUCGAUGGGCAAACAGUGAGUUUGUUUGUAAAUUCGUGUUCCAACUACGCUACUCAAGCAUGGCAUAUCUUACUCAUAGUGUCCCUGUUGCGGGUCAAUUAAAACUGUCGUACACUAUUUAACUUAUUGUCUUCGUGCUGUGCUAAUAAUUCGAUCAGUUGUCACUCAGAGUGGGGUUUUCGUUGUUUACCUUUCAAAAUUAUUCGUGAUGUUAAGAUCGACAAUCGCACCAAUCAUUAGUGGAAGUAGCUAUCAGGUUGAUUAGGCGACAAAGGGAUUUUGUGUCAUUCAGGACGAUGGAACUUUUUUCAGAAAAAUGGUAGCACUCAAUUUUUCUCUGUCCAUUUGAUGGUUUGACACUACAACAUACAAGUACUACACCGGUUGCUAGAACUGUAAAAUUUUAAAGAAUUAGAAUUGAGGCCAACUAAAAGAGCGAAUUCCUUAUAUGCCACUAAAUAUUAAUUACCCUUCACCGCUUCGUACCAUUGCAAAUUUAGUCUUUCUCUGAGUUGCGCAUCCUAAUUUUUUCAAUAAAUUUCUAAUUCUUAUGCCUUUCAAAAUUACUACUCUGUGCGGAAGCACGAGUUGAUAGACCACUAUACACAAUCAAAAUCAAGCACAAACACCAAAAAGAGUCCCAACCGAGUAUGGCACGAACCCUUAUUUAUUUUCGGAUCAAGCACGUGCAUAAUGUUUGUUCCCCCACGUACACGCCGAGAUGAUGAUGCAGGUAAUGAACAAGCAUUUGCAUCAUGGCCCGGCAUACAGGUGAGCCGGAAGCCUGGGCUCUGGGACGGCUUCGAGCGGUACCAUGCGCGGCAUGGACAGCCCGAACUUCUCCUCCAUGCUCAACUCCUCCUUCACCAUG
rnacentral:lncRNA from 1 species